rnacentral:rRNA from 1 species
GUACACUCCUGCGGGAGGCAGCAGUGGGGAAUUUUGGACAAUGGGCGAAAGCCUGAUCCAGCAAUGCCGCGUGAGUGAAGAAGGCCUUCGGGUUGUAAAGCUCUUUUGUCAGGGAAGAAACGGUGAGAGCUAAUAUCUUUUGCUAAUGACGGUACCUGAAGAAUAAGCACCGGCUAACUACGUGCCAGCAGCCGCGGUAAUACGUAGGGUGCAAGCGUUAAUCGGAAUUACUGGGCGUAAAGCGUGCGCAGGCGGUUUUGUAAGUCUGAUGUGAAAUCCCCGGGCUCAACCUGGGAAUUGCAUUGGAGACUGCAAGGCUAGAAUCUGGCAGAGGGGGGUAGAAUUCCACGUGUAGCAGUGAAAUGCGUAGAUAUGUGGAGGAACACCGAUGGCGAAGGCAGCCCCCUGGGUCAAGAUUGACGCUCAUGCACGAAAGCGUGGGGAGCAAACAGGAUUAGAUACCCUUGUAGUCCCAU